rnacentral:rRNA from 1 species
UACGUAGGGUGCGAGCGUUGUCCGGAAUUAUUGGGCGUAAAGAGCCCGUAGGCGGUCUGUCGCGUCGAAUGUGAAAACCCGGGGCUCAACUCCGGGCUUGCAUUCGAUACGGGCAGGCUAGAGUUCGGUAGGGGAGUCUGGAAUUCCUGGUGUAGCGGUGAAAUGCGCAGAUAUCAGGAGGAACACCGGUGGCGAAGGCGGGACUCUGGGCCGAUACUGACGCUGAGGAGCGAAAGCGUGGGGAGCGAACAGG